rnacentral:ncRNA from 2 species
AUCUAUCCGUGGGGGUGCUCUUUUUUCAAGGGCUGAGAAAUACCCCUCGAACCUGAUACGGGUAAUGCCGUCGAAGGGAACGGGUGUAGAAAUGCC